GGGCGCGUAGCUCAGGUGGUAGAGCAACGGCCUUUUAAGCCGUGGGUCCCAGGUUCGAGUCCUGGCGCGCUCA
rnacentral:tRNA from 1 species